UACACAGGCUGCCUCCCCAUAAGGUGGGGUUUGCAAGGUUCCACCCUUUUCGGAAGAGAGCUCCCUCCUAGCUGCCUGAGGAUGCCAGUCUCUCCUGGUUGCCUUUGAAUCAAGAUGCAGAACUUUCAACUCUUCCAGCCCCAAGUCUGCCUGGAUGCUGCCAUGCUUCAGGCUAUGAUGAUAAUGGACUGAACCUCUGAACCGGCUUCUGCUGACUCAGAGUCUAUAGUGGAAUGAGAAAAUGCUAUGCAAACCACCACCAUUAAACAAUAGGAUGGAGUUCAUUUUGCAGUCGUAUUAAGCAGUAAUUGCUAUUAAGUUAGCAGUAUCGGUGAGAUCAUCCUUCAUGAUCAAGCACACAGAGCAUGAAAACAGUGAGACUGAGGGCGGCAGAACUCUGUGACUCUCAGACAAGAACUGUGUUUACAUCUUUUUAAAUGCCACAUCCCUAUGAACGUUUUCUCCAAGACUCCACAACCUGCUGAGAGGCUGAACCUGUCUUCCUGAGGAGAUCCUGACUAACCAACAGCCUGGACAGAGUGAUGACAAUGCGACUAGAGCCUGGUGUAGUGGGGGAUGGGCUUUCCCCUAUUUAAGUUCAGACUCAAAAAGUAAACUUUGGCCC
rnacentral:lncRNA from 1 species